rnacentral:rRNA from 1 species
GCAGGAUGACGGUCCUAUGGAUUGUAAACUGCUUUUGUACGAGAAGAAACACUGCUUCGUGAAGCAGCUUGACGGUAUCGUAAGAAUAAGGAUCGGCUAACUCCGUGCCAGCAGCCGCGGUAAUACGGMGGAUCCAAKCGUUAUCCGGAAUCAUUGGGUUUAAAGGGUCCGUACGGCGGUUUWGUAAGUCAGUGGUGAAAGCCCAUCGCUCAACGGUGGAACGGCCAUUGAUACUGCUGAACUUGAAUUAUUAGGAAGUAACUAGAAUAUGUAGUGUAGCGGUGAAAUGCUUAGAGAUUACAUGGAAUACCAAUUGCGAAGGCAGGUUACUACUAAUUGAUUGACGCUGAUGGACGAAAGCGUGGGGAGCGAACAGGAUUAGAUACCCUGGUAGUCCACGCCGUAAACGAUGGAUACUAGCUGUUGGGCGCAAGUUCAGUGGCUAAGCGAAAGUGAUAAGAUCCCAC